CGGGGGCACGGGGGGCCUACGGGAGGCAGCAGUUAGGAAUAUUGGACAAUGGGCGCAAGCCUGAUGCAGCAACGCCGCGUGAGGGACGACGGCCUUCGGGUUGUAAACCUCUUUUAGUAGGGAAGAAGCGAAAGUGACGGUACCUGCAGAAAAAGCACCGGCUAACUACG
rnacentral:rRNA from 1 species